rnacentral:rRNA from 1 species
AGUUACAGCCAUACCAGCCUGAAUGCGCCCAAUCUCGUCUGAUCUCAGAAGCAAACAGGGUCAGGCCUGGUUAGUACUUGAAUGGGAGACAGAUCUACAGAGGAGACUG